UAUCCGAAAGCAACGACAAACCAUUGCUAAUGAAAAACGAUUCGGGGCGAAGUUUGGUUACACAUGUUUUAAAAGGCCGUAUAAUUUGAUAUUUAAAAUUCUAAAUAAAAAAGACGGAUAUACUUCCGAGUGUAGUAGUGUAGUACACCCUUCAUGAGUGGGCCACUGUUGUAGAUGUAAAGUCGAGAAGGUAAGAUAUACAGGAGAAUUUAAUGUAUACCUGUACGCAACGAUUAAUCUUUGCUAAUGAAAAACGAUUCU